rnacentral:lncRNA from 1 species
UUGUGUAGGAUUUUUAUUAUGCUAAUGAUACGGGUGCAGGUAUUUGGUUUCGGUCAUAGAGAACUUCAUGUAUCGGGAUAAAAGGGACAUUGUAGACUUCAGGUUUUCUACUCACUUUCAUAACGAUUUACAUCGACAACGAUCUAAAUCUAUUCAGCAGUUUGUGCGUAAAAACUUAACCGACAUACAGACAGACCGAGUUGCAUAGGCAUUAACGUAAGGAGUGAAUUGAACCUGUCUCCCCGAUGUUUGUCAUCCACCGUUUUAAAGCUAGUAAAAAUACUCUUUAAACUUUAUUGAAAUAAAAUUGUUAUCAAGGAAACUUCUAGUGUUAAAACGCAUAUUUUGAACUCUUAUCUUCGUGAUAUAUAUUUUUGAUCGGCUUAGCUACGUCGUCAGUCUGAGUGGGAUUUUCUUUAUUAUAUAAAUUUUCGUUAACUUCUGACGUAUGUUUGCUACAAAUAUUGUUCUAAAAACUAUUAUCUCAGGCACUCUUAUGCAGUAUGAAUGAGUAAACUAUGCUUUAUACGCUAUAUAUGCUAUGAUACUUCAUGUAUGUACCGGUAUAUUUAUUAAUAAACCCUUGAUUGAAGAACCUAUAGAGGCCCAAGUGUGUAAUAUAGGCGGUUGGUGUACCUAGAUAAACGUCUUUUUUUUUAACGACGUAAAAAAUCAUCAAAUGACCCCUCCCGCUGUGGGUUAGCAGCGGUGAGGGAGUGUCAGACUCUUACUGACUAAAAGCCGUCGUGUUCCGUCGUAGGCCUUAUAUGCUGGGAUUGAACUAAAUGAGAAUGACUGAACGAUUGAAAAUGUAAGAAAGAUACUGAGAGUACAUUGCGCAAACGCCAAUUAAAUUGCACAGAGAAAGUUUUAUGUUAUCCAUUGCUUACUUAAUCCUUUAAAUAAUUGUUGUAUUUUUAGUGUUGGCAAUACAUAUCAGUCUUUAAGCUCUAGGUGUCACGAGAGUCAACAAACAAAAAUUCAAAAACGACCGAGAUAAAAAUGUACAGUGCUUUAUUCAAUUUAAGUCGAAGUUUUAGUCGGUCUGAAACCGGCCAAACAUCGGAUCGUUAUGUUCGUACUACCGUUGAUUGGCAUACUGAUUAAUGAGCCCUAAUAAACUGACGGCUGGCUAAAAGUUUGCAGGGUGCUCUUACCUAGAUCAAGUAUUCAAUAAAUAAUUUUCUUAUAAUAAUAUCUUCAGAUAAUUCUAUCAAGAUUAUUUACGUCGUACACAUAUUUAUCUACUGACACGUAACAUAAUUGGUUGUGACUCAAAUUAAUUAUACAUUGUCUGUUAUCGAAGACAAAAUAAGCGGAUUAAGGAAAUUGUUGCUAUAACAAAUUAAACUCUAAUGAUAGGGAUUUCUUGAACUUGGGAAAUAUGGUACAAGUUUUAUCCGCGAAUGUUUUAGAAAAUGAAAAUGAAGAUUUAGAAAAAGAAGGGAGUUUUGAGCAUGAACUUAGAUAUCUGUGGAGAGGGAAGUUAGAACCGAUGGAUGGAUUGUGUAAGAGAUGAUAUUUUGGUUAGAAAGAAGGUUGCUCGUGAGAUAAAGAAGUGCGGAAGAAGAAAACAAAUGAUUUGGAAUAAGAGAAGCUUUCCUACUCUUAAUAUUGAAUUUCAUUCAGUAACACAAUUGAAACGUAACAGACAAAUAAAAGCGAUUUCUUCUCACAAAUUCGAUAUUUUAUCGAAAGCAAACUAUAAUUUUUAUUACUGGUGAAUUCGUAAAUCCCAAAAUUAGGUUGUACAGUUAAUGAAAUCCAAUCAUUUGACAAAUAUGAAACGGGUACCAAAAUUACGUAUGACUAAUACGAUAUACAUAGCAUAUGCUUAUCGAUUAGUUAGGAGAUAAAGUUACCGCAAAACAACCAAUUCGCAAUAUGCUGUAACUAGCAGGUAAGCAGGAAAUAUAUCAACUGGAAUUACUACGAAAGUCAUUCGCAUAUAUUUAAUGAUUUAAUUUCAACGGGAAUAAAUGAAAUGAACUUUUUUCAUAAACAAGUGUUCAAAAGCGCUUUGUACUGCGUCGGCUUACGAAGUUGAUACCUAAUAAUUGUACCUACGUAGUUUAAGUAAGUAAGAGUCAUAUAAGACCA